rnacentral:lncRNA from 1 species
GUGGUUUUCAGAUUUCUGGGGCAGGAAAUAGAGGGGGGUCUUAGGAUCAGUUUCAUUUCUGGAAGAAGAGCUCCUGGAGGGAGUACAGAAAGGAAUGAGGGGAGGAGGGAAGGAAUGAACGAAGGAAGGGAGCAAGGGAGGGAAACCCUGAUUCUAAGUGUCAGGCACAACCCUAGAAGCACAUAGCCAUCAUAUUCAAGUCUUCAUCACCAUCAGCUGUAACCCAGUGAGUUAUCAAAGCUUAUUUCUAUGUUACAGAGAAGGAAAGAGGCUGGCAGAUCCAGAGUGGGAGCUUACAACCACAUCCUUGGGUAGGCUAGGUGGCUGGGUGGUGUAAGGAUUGGGAGUUUCCCCUGACCCACCAGUUUUGCUGAUGCCGAAAGCCCUCAAGCAUGGCACAAAGGCCUUCCCUUGACAAGCAGUGAGAAAGAUGGAAAGGCAGACACUCUUCUAAGAGCUUUACAUACGUGAAGGCACUUAAUCUUCAAACGACUUUAUCAGGAGGUUCCAGGGAAUGAAUCCGUUGCCACUUUCUGGGCAGCCAGAGCUACCUCCUAUCAGCUGUGAGACAGCAAACCAGAGCCAGGAGCCUGGAUUACCGACUGCUUCCCAGAAAUGCAUACUCUGUCAGAUCCCAAGGGGCCCAUUUACAAUUGAUGACAAGAAGUCGGAGGGCAUGGCUUGCCAAGUGAUGCCACGUCCGCACCUGGGAUCCAAACCGGCGAACCCCGGGGCGCCAAAGCAGAUUGUGCACACUUAACCGCUGUGCCACCAGGCCGGCCCCUGGACUGGCCACCUUUUGAGUGCUCAACAGCCGUAUGUGUUUAGUGGCUACCGUGUUGGAUUGUGUAGAUGAAGAGACUGCAUUUGAGAGGAACAAGAAUGGCAAAGCUGUUGCAGUUGACCUGGAAGAGUACAGCGGCCUGGGAAUAGUGACAAAAGGACAGAUUUCAGAGAUGUGAUUCCCAGGUUGUCAU